UGAAAUGUUUGACCACACAUU
rnacentral:piRNA from 1 species